UACGUAGGGGGCGAGCGUUGUCCGGAUUUAUUGGGCGUAAAGAGCGUGUAGGCGGCCAGGUAGGUCUGCUGUGAAAACUCGAGGCUCAACCUCGAGACGUCGGCGGAAACCAUCUGGCUGGAGUCCGGGAGGGGAGAGUGGAAUUCCUGGUGUAGCGGUGAAAUGCGCAGAUAUCAGGAAGAACACCCGUGGCGAAAGCGGCUCUCUGGAACGGUACUGACGCUGAGACGCGAAAGCGUGGGGAGCGAACAGG
rnacentral:rRNA from 1 species